GAUGCAGCAACGCCGCGUGAACGAUGAAGGUCUUCGGAUCGUAAAGUUCUGUUGCAGGGGAAGAUAAUGACGGUACCCUGUGAGGAAGCCCCGGCUAACUACGUGCCAGCAGCCGCGGUAAUACGUAGGGGGCUAGCGUUAUCCGGAUUUACUGGGCGUAAAGGGUGCGUAGGUGGUCCUUCAAGUCGGUGGUUAAAGGCUACGGCUCAACCGUAGUAAGCCGCCGAAACUGGAGGACUUGAGUGCAGGAGAGGAAAGUGGAAUUCCCAGUGUAGCGGUGAAAUGCGUAGAUAUUGGGAGGAACACCAUAGCGAAGGCGGCUUUCUGGACUGCAACUGACACUGAGGCACAAAGCGUGGGUACCA
rnacentral:rRNA from 1 species